AUUGAACGCUGGCGGCAUGCCUUACACAUGCAAGUCGAACGGCAGCAUGAUCUAGCUUGCUAGAUUGAUGGCGAGUGGCGAACGGGUGAGUAAUACAUCGGAACGUGCCCUGUAGUGGGGGAUAACUAGUCGAAAGAUUAGCUAAUACCGCAUACGACCUGAGGGUGAAAGUGGGGGACCGCAAGGCCUCAUGCUAUAGGAGCGGCCGAUGUCUGAUUAGCUAGUUGGUGAGGUUAAGGCUCACCAAGGCGACGAUCAGUAGCUGGUCUGAGAGGACGAUCAGCCACACUGGGACUGAGACACGGCCCAGACUCCUACGGGAGGCAGCAGUGGGGAAUUUUGGACAAUGGGCGAAAGCCUGAUCCAGCAAUGCCGCGUGUGUGAAGAAGGCCUUCGGGUUGUAAAGCACUUUUGUCCGGAAAGAAAUGGCUCUGGUUAAUACCUGGGGUCGAUGACGGUACCGGAAGAAUAAGGACCGGCUAACUACGUG
rnacentral:rRNA from 1 species